AUGUCGCAAUACUGGUGGGGUGAUGAGGAUGAUCAGCGCAAAAUGCAUUGGGUAGCCUGGUGGAAGAUGUGUGUACCGAAAGAAAAAGGUGGAAUGGGGUUUAGAGAUAUCCAUGCCUUCAACCUAGCACUUCUAGCAAAACAGUGCUGGAGGUUGAUUGAGAACUAUGACUCGCUCUGUGCAAGAGUGUUGCGUGCUCGUUACUAUCCCACGGGAGAUAUUCUAAAUUGCACUUUGAAGAAGGGUUCUUCCUUUGUAUGGCAGAGCAUAUAUGCAGGCAUACAAACGUUCAAGAAAGGAAGCAUUUGGCGAGUAGGGGAUGGCACAAAGAUUGAUAUCUGGGAAGACAGUUGGAUACCA
rnacentral:rRNA from 1 species